rnacentral:rRNA from 1 species
CCUACGGGUGGCAGCAGUGAGGAAUAUUGGUCAAUGGACGAGAGUCUGAACCAGCCAAGUAGCGUGAAGGAUGACUGCCCUAUGGGUUGUAAACUUCUUUUAUAUGGGAAUAAAAUGUUCCACGUGUGGGAUUUUGUAUGUACCAUAUGAAUAAGGAUCGGCUAACUCCGGGCCAGCAGCCGCGGUAAUACGGAGGAUCCGAGCGUUAUCCGGAUUUAUUGGGUUUAAAGGGAGCGUAGGUGGAUUUUUAAGUCAGUUGUGAAAGUUUGGGGCUCAACCGUACAAUUGCAGUUGAAACUGGCAGUCUAGAGUACAGUAGAGGUGGGCGGAAUGCGUGGUGUAGCGGUGAAAUGCGUAGAUAUCACGAAGAACUCCGAUGGCGAAGGCAGCUUACUGGACUGCAACUGACACUGAGGCUCGAAAGUGUGGGGAUCAAACAGGAUUAGAUACCCCUGUAGUC